UUAAGCGACUAAGCGUACACGGUGGAUGCCCUGGCAGUCAGAGGCGAUGAAGGACGUGCUAAUCUGCGAAAAGCGUCGGUAAGGUGAUAUGAACCGUUAUAACCGGCGAUGUCCGAAUGGGGAAACCCAGUGCAAUUCGUUGCACUAUCGUUAACUGAAUACAUAGGUUAACGAGGCGAACCGGGGGAACUGAAACAUCUAAGUACCCCGAGGAAAAGAAAUCAACCGAGAUUCCCCCAGUAGCGGCGAGCGAACGGGGAGCAGCCCAGAGUCUGAAUCAGCUUGUGUGUUAGUGGAACGGUCUGGAAAGUCCGACGGUACAGGGUGAUAGUCCCGUACACCAAAAUGCACAGGUUGUGAACUCGAAGAGUAGGGCGGGACACGUGGUAUCCUGUCUGAAUAUGGGGGGACCAUCCUCCAAGGCUAAAUACUCCUGACUGACCGAUAGUGAACCAGUACCGUGAGGGAAAGGCGAAAAGAACCCCGGCGAGGGGAGUGAAAAAGAACCUGAAACCGUGUACGUACAAGCAGUGGGAGCACCUUCGGGUGUGACUGCGUACCUUUUGUAUAAUGGGUCAGCGACUUAUAUUCUGUAGCAAGGUUAACCGUAUAGGGGAGCCGCAGGGAAACCGAGUCUUAACUGGGCGUUAAGUUGCAGGGUAUAGACCCGAAACCCGGUGAUCUAGCCAUGGGCAGGUUGAAGGUUGGGUAACACUAACUGGAGGACCGAACCGACUAAUGUUGAAAAAUUAGCGGAUGACUUGUGGCUGGGGGUGAAAGGCCAAUCAAACCGGGAGAUAGCUGGUUCUCCCCGAAAGCUAUUUAGGUAGCGCCUCGUGAAUUCAUCUUCGGGGGUAGAGCACUGUUUCGGCUAGGGGGUCAUCCCGACUUACCAACCCGAUGCAAACUACGAAUACCGAAGAAUGUUAUCACGGGAGACACACGGCGGGUGCUAACGUCCGUCGUGAAGAGGGAAACAACCCAGACCGCCAGCUAAGGUCCCAAAGUCAUGGUUAAGUGGGAAACGAUGUGGGAAGGCACAGACAGCCAGGAUGUUGGCUUAGAAGCAGCCAUCAUUUAAAGAAAGCGUAAUAGCUCACUGGUCGAGUCGGCCUGCGCGGAAGAUGUAACGGGGCUAAACCAUGCACCGAAGCUGCGGCAGCGACACUAUGUGUUGUUGGGUAGGGGAGCGUUCUGUAAGCCUGCGAAGGUGACCUGUGAGGGUUGCUGGAGGUAUCAGAAGUGCGAAUGCUGACAUAAGUAACGAUAAAGCGGGUGAAAAGCCCGCUCGCCGGAAGACCAAGGGUUCCUGUCCAACGUUAAUCGGGGCAGGGUGAGUCGACCCCUAAGGCGAGGCCGAAAGGCGUAGUCGAUGGGAAACAGGUUAAUAUUCCUGUACUUGGUGUUACUGCGAAGGGGGGACGGAGAAGGCUAUGUUAGCCGGGCGACGGUUGUCCCGGUUUAAGCAUGUAGGCUGGUUAUCCAGGCAAAUCCGGAUAAUCAAGGCUGAGGUGUGAUGACGAGGCACUACGGUGCUGAAGUAACAAAUGCCCUGCUUCCAGGAAAAGCCUCUAAGCAUCAGGUAACAUCAAAUCGUACCCCAAACCGACACAGGUGGUCAGGUAGAGAAUACCAAGGCGCUUGAGAGAACUCGGGUGAAGGAACUAGGCAAAAUGGUGCCGUAACUUCGGGAGAAGGCACGCUGGUGUGUAGGUGAAGCCCCUGCGGGUGGAGCUGAGACCAGUCGAAGAUACCAGCUGGCUGCAACUGUUUAUUAAAAACACAGCACUGUGCAAACACGAAAGUGGACGUAUACGGUGUGACGCCUGCCCGGUGCCGGAAGGUUAAUUGAUGGGGUUAUCCGUAAGGAGAAGCUCUUGAUCGAAGCCCCGGUAAACGGCGGCCGUAACUAUAACGGUCCUAAGGUAGCGAAAUUCCUUGUCGGGUAAGUUCCGACCUGCACGAAUGGCGUAAUGAUGGCCAGGCUGUCUCCACCCGAGACUCAGUGAAAUUGAACUCGCUGUGAAGAUGCAGUGUACCCGCGGCAAGACGGAAAGACCCCGUGAACCUUUACUAUAGCUUGACACUGAACAUUGAGCCUUGAUGUGUAGGAUAGGUGGGAGGCUUUGAAGCGUGGACGCCAGUCUGCGUGGAGCCAACCUUGAAAUACCACCCUUUAAUGUUUGAUGUUCUAACGUUGGCCCCUUACCGGGGUUGCGGACAGUGUCUGGUGGGUAGUUUGACUGGGGCGGUCUCCUCCCAAAGCGUAACGGAGGAGCACGAAGGUUAGCUAAUCCUGGUCGGACAUCAGGAGGUUAGUGCAAUGGCAUAAGCUAGCUUGACUGCGAGCGUGACGGCGCGAGCAGGUGCGAAAGCAGGUCAUAGUGAUCCGGUGGUUCUGAAUGGAAGGGCCAUCGCUCAACGGAUAAAAGGUACUCCGGGGAUAACAGGCUGAUACCGCCCAAGAGUUCAUAUCGACGGCGGUGUUUGGCACCUCGAUGUCGGCUCAUCACAUCCUGGGGCUGAAGUAGGUCCCAAGGGUAUGGCUGUUCGCCAUUUAAAGUGGUACGCGAGCUGGGUUUAGAACGUCGUGAGACAGUUCGGUCCCUAUCUGCCGUGGGCGCUGGAGAAUUGAGGGGGGCUGCUCCUAGUACGAGAGGACCGGAGUGGACGCAUCACUGGUGUUCGGGUUGUCAUGCCAAUGGCACUGCCCGGUAGCUAAAUGCGGAAGAGAUAAGUGCUGAAAGCAUCUAAGCACGAAACUUGCCCCGAGAUGAGUUCUCCCUGAGACUUUAAGUCUCCUGAAGGAACGUUGAAGACGACGACGUUGAUAGGCCGGGUGUGUAAGCGCAGCGAUGCGUUGAGCUAACCGGUACUAAUGAACCGUGAGGCUUAACCUU
rnacentral:rRNA from 2 species